GCAACGCUUCUAGACGCGAAUGAACAGUCGCGCGGACACGAAAAUGUAAUCGCUUGCUCGAGGCUUAAAAAUCGAGACUCACACGCAUGAGAAUCGUGAGGCGCGCGCGCCCGCUCCGUACCGACACAUUUUUAGUGCCACCUGAGGAAUUGGGAUAUCGGUGCUUGUGGUGUCAAAAUCGUAUUAAAACCAUAAUCGUACGGCUAGAUUUGACUGCUUAGCAUGUAAACUAAUUUGUGCUUGAUGGGAAGAGACGUCAUAGGAGAUUUGGCUGAUGAUUAUCAUAAAGUCUUUCCGAGCUUCUUUCGUCAACGAGUCUUCGGACCACCACUUGACAAAAUGAAACUACAUGAAAAGAAAGAGUCAGGUAUCCACAAGAUACAGGAAGUAACUUUGGAUGAACUCGAUUUAACGAAAGAAUACAAUAUAGAAAAAAACUUGGGUGAAGGUAGUUUUGCCAAGGUUCUAUUAGCUACACACCGACGAACACAAACACGAGUAGUUCUAAAGGCAGUUCAUCAAGAGCUUACAACCGAAAAAGAUUUCUUUCGCGAGUUUCACUAUUCCUAUCACCUCAGUCCUCAUCCCAAUAUAUUGUGCUCAUAUGCGGUUGCCUUCAAGGCAGAAAACUGUUACGUCUUUGCACAGGAAUACGCUCCUUUCGGCGAUCUCGCGGGUAAUGUCAAGGCAGGUGGUUUAAAUGAGGAUAUUUGUAAAAAAAUCGCGGCACAAUUAUCUUCAGCUUUAGACUUUUUACACUCCAAGCAAUUGGCUCAUCGAGAUGUUAAACUCGAGAAUAUCUUGGUUUUUGCCCAAGAUAUGUCGAAGAUCAAACUUUGCGAUUUUGGCUCUAUGAAACACGAAGGGACUUUAGUCAACAAGAUUAGAUGUACAUGGGUUCCAUUUUUACCCCCGGAAAUUCACGAAAUCAUUAAAAAUGAGAGGUACACGUGUAAAAGGAGCGCCGACUGCUGGCAGUUUGGCAUAGUCCUUUUUGUUUGCUUGACUGGUAAUCCACCCUGGCAAAGCGCCGAUCUUAUUCAAGAUCCUGACUACUCGGCUUUUCAGCGUUGGCUGAAACGCCGCACAACUAAGAUUCCUUUAAACUUCAGACGAUUUACUCCGAGGUUACUACGUUAUUUUAGGCGAAUAUUUGAGCAUAAACCGGAAAAACGACCUCUCAUUGUCGAGAUCAAUAAGUACUUGAAAGAUACGUGGUGCGUCAGCAAACUUAGUCAUAGUGCAACGUCAACGUCGGUCGAUGUAUCAGAAAAUUUUGCUAAGCGACCCGACAGCUUACUUUAUCUAGAUACUAUCGUCGAUGAUCGCAAUAAGUUCGAUGAAAAUAAGAACAAGCUGAGAAAAUUAUUGAAUAGUUACGGAUUAGAAACAACGGUCGAUCAAAAAGAUAUGACUAAGAGAAUUUGGGAGUGGGUGAUGCAGUGUGAUUCGAACAUUGGAGAUUCGGGACUACUUUCUAAUAAUUUUGGAAGCGGAUCCAUGUGAGACUCGAUCAGGUCAUCCAGUGAACCGUGUCUAAAAGGUACUCCGAAGAGUCGGAAGUUAAGCUGCAUUGAUUUCGGCCUACAAACAUAAUUUGUAAGAGUAUCUCAAAGAAUGUGCCAAUUGUUAAGAUGCGACGAAAUAUCAUCAAGAGACAUGCAGUGUUGUAAAGCGCAAUAUUCGAGUAGUAAAUGAAUUAUAUUGUCUUCGUGUCCGGGAAGCGCUUCUUUAUUUGAUAAUUCAAAUAAUAAAAACGUUACCGCUUGUUAUUUAUGUUAUACAUGUUGUAAUUAUAUUAAGAGAGAAUAGUACUUCAAUAAGUAUACAAUUCAAUAAAAGUUGAUCACUCAAAAUUGUAUGUUAGACCAAUUUAUCGAUCUAUUUAAUUAUUAGCUUUUAAAGUCUAGUUAUUGACGUACAUAUAAAUUUUUACCUUUGUACGUUUCCAAUUAAAACAUAGUUACACAAGAAUAUACAAUACCUUUGGGAUCUCAGAAGAUAUAUCACUUUAUUUUUACGUCAAGAUUA